AUCAAACCCAGGGCCUCACACGCGCUAGGCGAGCACUCUACCGCUGAGCCACAACCCCAGCUCAAUAUUGAUUCAUUUUUAAUUGGUUCUUUUUACUUAGACAUAAAGGUGAAGCUCCCUGCGGUAUAUUCAUAUAUGCACAUAAGAUGACUUUCAAAGUAUUCAUUCUGCAUUUCCUCUCCUUUUUCUGACCCUCCACUCUGCAUCUUGAUUUCUUCUUCUCCUCAACCAUGUGUCUUUAGGUUAUCCUAUCCUUCCCUCCUUCUUUCCUUUAUUUUAUUCUAGCUUCCACCUAGGGGAGAAAACAUUUGAUCUUUGACUUUCUGGGUCUAGUUUAUUUUGCUUAGCCUGAUGUUGUCCAUUUCCAUCCAUUUACCAGAAAGUGCCUGGUAACUUCAUGGCUUAGAACUCCACUGUGUCUAUCAACCACAGUCUCUUAAUCCAUUCAUUUACUGAUGUGCAUCUGAGUCGAUUCCAUAGUUUAGCUAUCGUGAAUGGUGUGGCUGUAAACAUUGAGGUGGCUGUAUUGCAAGAGUAUGCUGAUUUUAGUUUUGGAAAAAUAUCAAGGAGUGGGGUGGCUGGGUCAUAUGGUGGUUCCAUUC
rnacentral:lncRNA from 1 species